rnacentral:rRNA from 1 species
GAUGAACGCUGGCGGCGUGCCUAACACAUGCAAGUCGAGCGGACAGACGAUGAGCGUGCUCCACUGACGGUGGCGGGGGGCGGACGAGUAACGCAUGCAUCACAUACCUAUUAGACUGGGAUAAUAACGUGGAGCCGGUGCUGAUAAUGGGUAAUAUAUUCAACGGGAGGGUUCAAUAGUGCUAGAGGGUUUUGGUGUCACUUAUAGCUGGAUUCGCGCCGGAUUAGCUAGUUGGUAAGGUAACGGCUUACCAAGGCGACGAUGCGUAGCCGACCUGAGAGGGUGAUCGGCCACACUGGAACUGAGACACGGUCCAGACUCCUACGGGAGGCAGCAGUAGGGAAUCUUCGGCAAUGGGCGAAAGCCUGACGGAGCAACGCCGCGUGGGUGAAGAAGGUCUUCGGGUCGUAAAACUCUGUUAUUGGGGAAGAACAAUUGCAGAAGUAACUAUGCAUGUUUUGACGGUACCUAAAGAAAAAGCACCGGCUAACUACGUG